CGUUCCGGUAUCCCACGGCAUCAGAGACGUAAGGAACCCGCGAAACACCUCACCAAGCCCCACCACCCUCCCGUCACCCGCACAGGUGAAUGCCUCCAACGUGACGGGUGUGUGGGCCCGUUGGCUGGCAUAGGCUCCAGCCGAGAAACCCGCAUCAUCCGUACGACAACCGCACACACGCCGUACGGCAACGGCACACACGCUGUAAGACCACCGCACACCGCACACCGCACACCGCACACCGCACACAUGCAACGGCCCCCGGCCGGGACUGGCAUCCCGAUCGAGGGCCUGACCACCCAGGAAGAAGACGCUUCCCG
rnacentral:ncRNA from 1 species